AUUGAACGCUGGCGGCAGGCCUAACACAUGCAAGUCGAGCGGAUGAAGGGAGCUUGCUCCUGGAUUCAGCGGCGGACGGGUGAGUAAUGCCUAGGAAUCUGCCUGGUAGUGGGGGAUAACGUCCGGAAACGGGCGCUAAUACCGCAUACGUCCUGAGGGAGAAAGUGGGGGAUCUUCGGACCUCACGCUAUCAGAUGAGCCUAGGUCGGAUUAGCUAGUUGGUGGGGUAAAGGCCUACCAAGGCGACGAUCCGUAACUGGUCUGAGAGGAUGAUCAGUCACACUGGAACUGAGACACGGUCCAGACUCCUACGGGAGGCAGCAGUGGGGAAUAUUGGACAAAGGGCGAAAGCCUGAUCCAGCCAUGCCACGUGUGUGAAGAAGGUCUUCGGAUUGUAAAGCACUUUAAGUUGGGAGGAAGGGCAGUAAGUUAAUACCUUGCUGUUUUGACGUUACCAACAGAAUAAGCACCGGCUAACUUCGUG
rnacentral:rRNA from 1 species